rfam:Nestor notabilis contig67121, whole genome shotgun sequence.
UAUGCUCUGCUCUGGCUGGUCAAACGGAACCAAGCCCAUCUUCCUGGGAGGUUUGGUCCCCUUCAACCAGCUAUAGCAGUGUUGAAAA